rnacentral:rRNA from 1 species
GACGAACGCUGGCGGCGUGCUUAACACAUGCAAGUCGAGCGGUAAGGCCCUUUCGGGGGUACACGAGCGGCGAACGGGUGAGUAACACGUGGGUGACCUGCCCUCAGCUCUGGGAUAAGCCUGGGAAACCGGGUCUAAUACCGGAUAUGACUCCAUGACGCAUGUUGUGGGGUGGAAAGCCUUGUGCGGCUGAGGAUGGGCCCGCGGCCUAUCAGCUUGUUGGUGGGGUGAUGGCCUACCAAGGCGACGACGGGUAGCCGGCCUGAGAGGGCGACCGGCCACACUGGGACUGAGACACGGCCCAGACUCCUACGGGAGGCAGCAGUGGGGAAUCUUGCGCAAUGGGCGAAAGCCUGACGCAGCGACGCCGCGUGAGGGACGACGGCCUCGGUUGUAACC